rnacentral:rRNA from 1 species
AGUGAACGCUGGCGGUAGGCCUAACACAUGCAAGUCGAACGGCAGCACAGUAAGAGCUUGCUCUUACGGGUGGCGAGUGGCGGACGGGUGAGGAAUACAUCGGAAUCUACUUUUUCGUGGGGGAUAACGUAGGGAAACUUACGCUAAUACCGCAUACGACCUACGGGUGAAAGCAGGGGAUCUUCGGACCUUGCGCGAUUGAAUGAGCCGAUGUCGGAUUAGCUAGUUGGCGGGGUAAAGGCCCACCAAGGCGACGAUCCGUAGCUGGUCUGAGAGGAUGGACCGGCAAACUGGAAAUGGGAAACGGGCCAGACUCCCAAGGGAGGGAGCAGUGGGGAAUAUUGGGAAAUGGGGGGAAGGCCGAAUCCGCCACACCGGGGGGGGGAAAAAGGGCUUUGGGUUGGAAAAGCCUUUUUUUGGGGAAAAAAAAGGGGCAGGUUAAACCCCCGCUGUUUGAAGGGAACCAAAAAAAAAGCCACGGCUAAAUUCGUG